GACGAACGCUGGCGGCGUGCUUAACACAUGCCAGUCGAACGGUGAACCUCUUCGGAGGGGCUCCGUGGCGAACGGGUGAGUAACACGUGGGCAACCUGCCCCCGGCUCUGGGAUAACUCCAAGACAUCGGGGCUAAUACCGGAUGUUCACCGCUUCCCGCAUGCGUGGUGGUGAAAAGGGUUUCCCGCUUGGGCUUGUCCCGCGGGCUAUCAGCUUGUUGGUGGGGUAGUGGCCUACCAACGCCACGACGGAUAGCCGGCACGAGAGCGUGACCGGGCACAAUACGACUGCGAGACGGACCAGACGGGUACGGGAGGCAGCGGUCGGGAAUCUUGCGCAACAAGCGGAAGCCUGACACAACGACGCCGGGUGCGUGAAGACGGGUUAUGAGUUGAAAACCUCUUUCAGCGGGGACGAGGCGCAAUUGACGGUACCUGAAGAAGAAGCCACGGCUAACUACGUG
rnacentral:rRNA from 1 species